rnacentral:rRNA from 1 species
UACGAGGGGGGCGAGCGUUGUUCGGAAUUAUUGGGCGUAAAGGGCGCGUAGGCGGCUGUACAAGUCAAAGGUGAAAUCCCUCGGCUCAACUGAGGAACUGCCUUUGAAACUGUACGGCUUGAGGCCGGGAGGGGGUAGCGGAAUUCCCAAUGUAGCGGUGAAAUGCGUAGAUAUUGGGAGGAACACCAGUGGCGAAGGCGGCUACCUGGACCGGUUCUGACGCUGAGGCGCGAAAGCGUGGGUAGCAAACAGG